rnacentral:pre_miRNA from 1 species
UUUGUACUCCCUCCGUCCCAAAAUAAUUGACUCAAAAGUGAGUGAACUUUGUACUAAAGUUCACUCACUUUUGAGUCACUUAUUUUGGGACGGAGGGAGUACGUU